GCCGCGUUAGCGUAGUGGUAGCGCGUCGCACUUGUAACACCAGCAUGGUGGGAUAUGCGAAGGUCACUCGUUCGACCCGGGUACGUGGCA